UCCGUAGGUGAACCUGCGGAAGGAUCAUUAAAAAAGUACGCCUAGCAAAGUAGUAAUACCUAGCUAGGUUGUAUCUAACAACCUGUUUACCUAUACCUGUUUCCUUCCCUGAUUUAGGGUGCUCUGUCUGCUUGCAGGCUGGAGUUACCUUUCAGGGGUAACUAAAAAAUUGUCUUGUUGUAUUGUCUGAAUAAAAAAAUAAUAGUUAAAACUAUCAACAACGGAUCUCUAGGUUCUCGCAUCGAUGAAGAACGCAGCGAAAUGCGAUAAGUAGUGUGAAUUGCAGAUUUCAGUGAAUCAUCGAAUCUUUGAACGCACAUUGCGCCCUCUGGUAUUCCGGAGGGCAUGCCUGUCUGAGCGUCAAUAAAUCCUCAAACUUUUGUUUGGUAUUGGAAGAAGUGGCUUUUGCUUCUCUUCUUAAAGCUAUUGGCGACGCUAUUUCAGCUUGUAAGACGUAGUAAGAAAUUCCUCGUUGAAACAAGUAGUGUAGUUGUCUGCCAACUGAACCGAUUUAUUUACACGUUUGACCUCAGAUCAGGUAGGGAUACCCCCUGAACUUAAGCAUAUCAAUAAGCGGAGGA
rnacentral:rRNA from 1 species